AGUGAACGCUGGCGGUAGGCCUAACACAUGCAAGUCGAACGGCAGCACAGUAAGAGCUUGCUCUUACGGGUGGCGAGUGGCGGACGGGUGAGGAAUACAUCGGAAUCUACUUUUUCGUGGGGGAUAACGUAGGGAAACUUACGCUAAUACCGCAUACGACCUACGGGUGAAAGCAGGGGAUCUUCGGACCUUGCGCGAUUGAAUGAGCCGAUGUCGGAUUAGCUAGUUGGCGGGGUAAAGGCCCACCAAGGCGACGAUCCGUAGCUGGUCUGAGAGGAUGAUCAGCCACACUGGAACUGAGACACGGUCCAGACUCCUACGGGAGGCAGCAGUGGGGAAUAUUGGACAAUGGGCGCAAGCCUGAUCCAGCCAUACCGCGUGGGUGAAGAAGGCCUUCGGGUUGUAAAGCCCUUUUGUUGGGAGAGAAAAGCAGCAGGUUAAUACCCCGCUGUUCCGACGGUACCCAAAGAAUAAGCACCGGCUAACUUCGUG
rnacentral:rRNA from 1 species